AGUGUAGGCGGCUACUUAAGUCGGAUGUGAAAGCCCUGGGCUCAACCUGGGAAUUGCAUUCGAUACUGGGUAGCUAGAGUUUGGUAGAGGUAAGUGGAAUUCCGGGUGUAGCGGUGAAAUGCGUAGAUAUCCGGAGGAACAUCAGUGGCGAAGGCGGCUUACUGGACCAAAACUGACGCUGAGGCUCGAAAGCGUGGGGAGCAAACAGGAUUAGAUACCCUGGUAGUCC
rnacentral:rRNA from 1 species